UACGGGGGGAGCAAGCGUUGUUCGGAUUUACUGGGCGUAAAGGGCGCGUAGGCGGCCAGCGCAAGUCAGUUGUGAAAUCUCCGGGCUUAACUCGGAACGGUCAACUGAUACUGCGCGGCUAGAGUGCAGAAGGGGCAACUGGAAUUCUCGGUGUAGCGGUGAAAUGCGUAGAUAUCGAGAGGAACACCUGCGGCGAAGGCGGGUUGCUGGGCUGACACUGACGCUGAACUGCGAAAGCUAGGGGAGCGAACGGG
rnacentral:rRNA from 1 species